rnacentral:lncRNA from 1 species
ACUUAGCAAGUGUUCUUUUGGACCUGAUCACAUUCUCCUCUUUCCUGACUUCUGACCAGCUAUUUAGGCAGGCCUCUCCCUUUGCCCUGUGGCUGUCAUAAUGCCUCUUGGGAGCCCACACAUUCCGUCUCACCACAUCCAUUCACCAGGGCACCGCAGUCACCUCAGCCCUACCUAAAAGUGCCGAUGAGUGGUGCGUAGAGAGCCUUGAACACCUGACACAUGAAAAGGCUGGAGCUUGCAGGCGUGCUGUGGAUCUCUGGCAUUCAGAAGGGUCUCCUUGAGGUGCACGACAGAAACAGCAGUCCAUGAAGAGAAUAUAGUUGAACACAUUGAAGAACAGACCUACGAUCCCGAUAAUGAGGACAAGCAGUGCUUUCUCUGUCUUCUGAGGGUUGAUGUACCUCUUGAUUGCCUCAACGAAGAUGCUGAACAUGAGAGCAGUGGCAAAAACAGAGUUGCCAAAGGCUCCCAGCACAUCUGCCCGGCUGAAGCCGAAAGUGUUUGUCUUGUGCCAUCUGAUGCGACUGAACCUCACACCGAGCAAACCGAUGAUCAUGGAGAUGAAGUGAGAGAGAACUGCGAAGGCAUCUGAAGCUAAGGAAAGGGAAUUGCCAAGUGCAAUUAAGUGUGGCUGUUUGUAUAAAGUUUUGCACACAGCUCAGACUGUGCUUGUGGUGGAAGGAUCCCUGACAGAAGUGUUGCUGCCACACAGAAAUUUGCCUCUCCUUUGUGGAAGAUGACCACAGGAAAGACCUACAGAUGAGUCAUCACAUUCCAGACACUUCAAGCCCCAUAGUGACCAGAAAGAAACGUGCUAUGGGGGUGGGGAAGGAAUCGAAAAAAUCAAACAAACCCACUGCAGACCGAGAGCAAAUCAGUUCUGAGAACAGCGCUGUCAACAUGUUUACUCAUGACUGUGAUCCAGUCAACUGGUUGAAG